rnacentral:lncRNA from 1 species
CAGUAAAUUAGAUACAAUUUUAUUACUCAGUAAUGAGGGACCGGUUUACAAUGAUGUGACAAUGGUAGCAAAAAUAGUAGGAAGGAGUUCAGCACUCAAAGUAUCAAAUAAAUAAAGCUUAGUGAUUCAUUAAAUAUUCUGAUAUUAUACAGGAUCAAAACUUUCAACACUUCCAUGGGUCCUUAACUGAUAUCUUUCAGAUAAGCUAUAUAAUCUAGAUAGUUAAGAAAUUGCUUGCUGACAUCAUACUUUA